GGUUAAGUGACUAAGCGUACACGGUGGAUGCCUUGGCAGUCAGAGGCGAUGAAAGACGUAGUAACUUGCGAUAAGCCCAGAUUAGGUAGUAACAACCAUUUGAGUCUGGGAUUUCUGAAUGGGGAAACCCACGUGCAUAAGCACGUAUCCUUACCUGAAUACAUAGGGUAAGGAGGCGAACCGGGGAACUGAAACAUCUAAGUACCCCGAGGAAAAGAAAUCAAUCGAGAUUCCGAAAGUAGCGGCGAGCGAAAUUGGACUAGCCCUUAAGCUUUACACGCGUUAGACGAACGGUCUGGAAAGUCCGACGAUACAGGGUGAUAGUCCCGUAGUUGACGACGUGUGUUCAGUGAAAUCGAGUAGGGCGGGACACGUGAUAUCCUGUCUGAAUAUGGGGGACCAUCCUCCAAGGCUAAAUACUACUGACUGACCGAUAGUGAACCAGUACCGUGAGGGAAAGGCGAAAAGAACCCCUGUGAGGGGAGUGAAAUAGAACCUGAAACCGUGUACGUACAAGCAGUAGGAGCAGGCUUUGUCCUGUGACUGCGUACCUUUUGUAUAAUGGGUCAGCGACUUAUAUUCAGUGGCAAGGUUAACCAUCUAGGGGAGCCGUAGGGAAACCGAGUCUUAACUGGGCGUUCAGUCUCUGGAUAUAGACCCGAAACCAGGUGAUCUAGCCAUGGGCAGGUUGAAGGUUGAGUAACAUCAACUGGAGGACCGAACCGACUAAUGUUGAAAAAUUAGCGGAUGACUUGUGGCUAGGGGUGAAAGGCCAAUCAAACCUGGAGAUAGCUGGUUCUCCCCGAAAGCUAUUUAGGUAGCGCCUCGGACGAAUACUACUGGGGGUAGAGCACUGUUAAGGCUAGGGGUCAUCCCGACUUACCAACCCUUUGCAAACUCCGAAUACCAGUAAGUACUAUCCGGGAGACACACGGCGGGUGCUAACGUCCGUCGUGGAGAGGGAAACAACCCAGACCGCCAGCUAAGGUCCCAAAUUACUACUAAGUGGGAAACGAUGUGGGAAGGCUCAGACAGCCAGGAUGUUGGCUUAGAAGCAGCCAUCAUUUAAAGAAAGCGUAAUAGCUCACUGGUCGAGUCGGCCUGCGCGGAAGAUGUAACGGGGCUAAGUAGUAAACCGAAGCUGCGGCAAUAUACUUUUGUAUAUUGGGUAGGGGAGCGUUCUGUAAGCGGUUGAAGGUGUGUGGUAACGCAUGCUGGACGUAUCAGAAGUGCGAAUGCUGACAUGAGUAACGAUAAAGGGGGUGAAAAACCUCCUCGCCGGAAGACCAAGGGUUCCUGUCCAACGUUAAUCGGGGCAGGGUAAGUCGACCCCUAAGGCGAGGCCGAAAGGCGUAGUCGAUGGGAAACGGGUUAAUAUUCCCGUACUUCUUACAAUUGCGAUGGGGGACGGAGAAGGCUAGGUGGGCCUGGCGACGGUUGUCCAGGUUCAAGUGCGUAGGCUUAAGAGUUAGGUAAAUCCGGCUCUUUUUAAGGCUGAGACACGACGUCGAGCACCUACGGGUGUGAAGUCAUUGAUGCCAUGCUUCCAGGAAAAGCCUCUAAGCUUCAGAUUGUAAGGAAUCGUACCCCAAACCGACACAGGUGGUCGGGUAGAGAAUACCAAGGCGCUUGAGAGAACUCGGGUGAAGGAACUAGGCAAAAUGGUACCGUAACUUCGGGAGAAGGUACGCUCUUGAUGGUGAAGUCCUCGCGGAUGGAGCUGACGAGAGUCGCAGAUACCAGGUGGCUGCAACUGUUUAUUAAAAACACAGCACUGUGCAAAAUCGUAAGAUGACGUAUACGGUGUGACGCCUGCCCGGUGCCGGAAGGUUAAUUGAUGGGGUUAGACUUCGGUCGAAGCUCUUGAUCGAAGCCCCGGUAAACGGCGGCCGUAACUAUAACGGUCCUAAGGUAGCGAAAUUCCUUGUCGGGUAAGUUCCGACCUGCACGAAUGGCGUAAUGAUGGCCACGCUGUCUCCACCCGAGACUCAGUGAAAUUGAAAUCGCUGUGAAGAUGCAGUGUACCCGCGGCUAGACGGAAAGACCCCGUGAACCUUUACUACAGCUUGGCACUGAACAUUGACCCUACAUGUGUAGGAUAGGUGGGAGGCUUUGAAGCACGUACGCCAGUAUGUGUGGAGCCGUCCUUGAAAUACCACCCUUGUAGUGUUGAUGUUCUAACGUCGACCCCUAAUCGGGGUUGCGGACAGUGCCUGGUGGGUAGUUUGACUGGGGCGGUCUCCUCCCAAAGAGUAACGGAGGAGCACGAAGGUGGGCUAAUCACGGUUGGACAUCGUGAGGUUAGUGCAAUGGCAUAAGCCCGCUUGACUGCGAGAAUGACAAUUCGAGCAGGUGCGAAAGCAGGUCAUAGUGAUCCGGUGGUUCUGAAUGGAAGGGCCAUCGCUCAACGGAUAAAAGGUACUCCGGGGAUAACAGGCUGAUACCGCCCAAGAGUUCAUAUCGACGGCGGUGUUUGGCACCUCGAUGUCGGCUCAUCACAUCCUGGGGCUGAAGUCGGUCCCAAGGGUAUGGCUGUUCGCCAUUUAAAGUGGUACGCGAGCUGGGUUUAGAACGUCGUGAGACAGUUCGGUCCCUAUCUGCCGUGGGCGUUGGAAGAUUGAAGGGGCUGCUCCUAGUACGAGAGGACCGGAGUGGACGAACCUCUGGUGUUCGGGUUGUGUCGCCAGACGCAUUGCCCGGUAGCUAAGUUCGGAAUCGAUAACCGCUGAAAGCAUCUAAGCGGGAAGCGAGCCCUGAGAUGAGUCUUCCCUGAUACUUUAAGUAUCCUAAAGGGUUGUCGGAGACUACGACGUUGAUAGGUCAGGUGUGUAAGUGCUGUGAGGCAUUGAGCUAACUGAUACUAAUUGCCCGUGAGGCUUAACCAU
rnacentral:rRNA from 1 species